GACGAACGCUGGCGGCGUGCUUAACACAUGCAAGUCGAACGGAGAGGCCCUGCUUUUGGGGGGUGCUCGAGUGGCGAACGGGUGAUUAACACGUGAGUAACCUGCCCUUGACUUUGAGAUAACUUCAGGAAACUGGGGCUAAUACCGGGUAAGAGCUCCUGCUGCAGGGUGGGGGUGGGAAAGUUUCGGCGGUUGGGGGGGGAAUCGCGGCGUAUCAGCUUGUUGGUGGGGUAGUGGGUUAGCAAGGCUUUGACGGGUAGCCGGCCUGAGAGGGUGACCGGCCACAUUGGGACUGAGAUACGGCACAGACUCCUCCGGGAGGGAGCAGUGGGGAAUAUUGCACAAUGGGCGGAAGCCUGAUGCAGCAACGCCGCGUGCGGGAUGACGGCCAUCGGGUUGUAAACCGCUUUCGCCUGUGACGAAGAGUGAGUGACGGUAAUGGGUAAAGAAGCACCGGCUAACUACGUG
rnacentral:rRNA from 1 species